rnacentral:rRNA from 1 species
GAUUGCGUCAGCUUACACAUGCAGUCGAGCGGUAGCACAGGGGAGCUUGCUCCCUGGGUGACGAGCGGCGGACGGGUGAGUAAUGUCUGGGAAACUGCCUGAUGGAGGGGGAUAACUACUGGAAACGGUAGCUAAUACCGCAUAACGUCGCAAGACCAAAGAGGGGGACCUUCGGGCCUCUUGCCAUCAGAUGUGCCCAGAUGGGAUUAGCUAGUAGGUGGGGUAAUGGCUCACCUAGGCGACGAUCCCUAGCUGGUCUGAGAGGAUGACCAGCCACACUGGAACUGAGACACGGUCCAGACUCCUACGGGAGGCAGCAGUGGGGAAUAUUGCACAAUGGGCGCAAGCCUGAUGCAGCCAUGCCGCGUGUGUGAAGAAGGCCUUCGGGUUGUAAAGCACUUUCAGCGAGGAGGAAGGUGGUGAACUUAAUACGUUCAUCAAUUGACGUUACUCGCAGAAGAAGCACCGGCUAACUCCGUGCCAGCAGCCGCGGUAAUACGGAGGGUGCAAGCGUUAAUCGGAAUUACUGGGCGUAAAGCGCACGCAGGCGGUUUGUUAAGUCAGAUGUGAAAUCCCCGGGCUCAACCUGGGAACUGCAUUUGAAACUGGCAAGCUAGAGUCUCGUAAAGGGGGGU